GUUUUUCCCCCUUUACCUACCAGGUCUGUGGACAUUCUGUGGGCAAGACUUGAGGCCAAGAACUUUGCUGCAGAAGCUGGAAGAUGCUCAUUUGAUUAAGAACACUGCCCUUGUAGGUGGUGAUCUUGUGGCAAGCAAAGAAGGAGGGCCAAUUCUCCUACCAUUCUGAUGCUGUUUUCCUAUGUGGACCAACCUACUGACCAGGAGACUGUACAGGAAUUCAAAAAGAAUCAUGGGAAAUGAGAAUGCCAUUAGAGUCUGGAAGAGUCUAUGCAUCUUGGGUUGGAUGAAAUUCAUGUGUCUACAGAUCCUGGCCAUUCAGACUUAGAUCUCUAAGCUUCACGUAUUGAGUCCGCAAAUCACCUUGACUUCUGCUUCCCAUGAGAACCAGAGUACAAGCAGAACUCACUCCAUAGGCUCCCUGCUUAGAAUACAGUUCUCUUGGCUCCGAGUGCUCUGUGCCUCCUGACCCUGCACCUGCAUCUGUAGGAAGACAGGAAGGCAAGUCUGAAUCCCUUGGCUAGAAAUGAUGUUCAUAGGCAAAGCUUACAGUCAGUGUGCUUUAGAACUUCUCGUGUUUCAGACUCCUCCCUCAGCUAUCCGAUGCCACAAGAUGCCUCAUCUACAAAAGCAGGCACGGACCUCUCAGGGAGUGCAUUGUUGAUCCCACAUAAGGAGGGAGCUGUUUGGACAAUGUGGAGACUUCAGAAAAGCCUGUGUAGAAGCUGUUCCAGCCACAGCAAUGUGACAGCGUUUCAGGCAAUUUUAUUGUAGGACUUCUUUCCCAGGAAAGAAGAACACCCAAAUCCCUCAAUAAACUCUCAACAACGUACA
rnacentral:lncRNA from 1 species